AUGGGAGUGGCAGUGACUUUUCCGGGUUUGUGGCCGGCCAUCCUUUGUUUGGGCAACUUAUAAGACAUGGUUGUUUUGAAGGGUAUACCGUCCGUGCUGUCCCCAGAGCUGCUGUAUGCUCUGGCCCGGAUGGGACAUGGUGACGAUAUCGUUCUUGCUGAUGCUAAUUUCCCAGUGUCCUCCAUAAGCCGUUGUGGACCAGAACUUAUUCGAGCAGAUGGUAUGGGGAUCCCUAGGCUUUUGGAAGCCAUUCUGCAGCUCUUCCCAAUGGAUACCUAUGUCCCUAGACCUGCUGCUGUGAUGGACCUAGUGGAUAGUGACAAAGAGAAGGGCCUGAAGACACCAGUGUGGGAUGAGUACAGGACACUGCUGUUCAAAGCUAACUGUAUGGCUCCUCUGGAGCAAGUGGAAAGAUUUGCUUUCUAUGAACGAGCGAAAAAUGCCUUUGCCGUGGUGGCUACUGGAGAAAGCGCUCUCUAUGGAAACCUAAUCUUAAGGAAAGGCGUGAUCAGCCCAAGUGAUCUGGUGUAAAUAACAGCUCUUCUGUUCCAGAGAUAUCAGCGGAGUUUGGAUCUCACAAACAUUUUGUUGCAGCUGAAGGCAUGUGACUAAUCAAACAGAGCAGCUGUGAGGAACGCCCUUAAGAAGACAAAGUGGGAGUGUUGUUUUCCUGUAGUAUGGGAAGGGGAGGAGUUUAAGGUAUAAAAAGAGUGUCGGGGAUGGGGGGAGUUACCUUGAUUACCAAUGCUGGACAAGCUGACUGGUGACUAGGGAGAAGGUUUCAGUUAGUGCUAGGGCUGUCUGAGAGCUUCUUUGAGGAGCUGGGACGCCUUGUAUGAACACUAACUAUGACGGAAACUAGUCUGCGGUAAUACUGGGGGGAAAAAUGUAGUGCACAUGUCCACAGUCAGUGUGUGCUUCGUUUUCACACAAGAAAAAAGGCUUACAGUACAACACAUUGUAGAGCAUGGACUACAGGAUUUAUAAACAUUUCUGCAUCAACAGUCACAAUACUCAAAAAAGCAGAGCCAGAUGCACCAAAAGGUUUGGUGUUGCUUGUAAAGAAAGUUGACCCUGGUCACCGGUAAAUCAUCAGGAAGGCCUAUUACCUGUGAGGGGGGGCAGAUUAGCCAUAGGGCUCACAGGAAAGAUUCCUGGUGGGCAGACGUGUCUGUGGGACAUGUUUGUUGGCAUAUGGUCCCACCCCCAACAUGACAGACAGUUCAUCGUCACACAUACACUGCAUUGUCCCCAUUCAUUCUGUUAUUCCAUCUCUGCAGUACAGUGACACUGCCAUCAAGUGAUGCUGCCAUGGCUACACGCCAAGUAAUACCUCUGGUGCAGCCCAUUUCAGGCCUCAUCUACUACAUUUUCCAGGGCCAUUUGUACUUCCUAAUCUGUCCCUGCAGCCUUCACUACCAGCAGGCAGAGAAGGCUGUGCAGGAGCAGGGAAACCUGCGCAACACUAUGGCAACAUAAUGUUAUUAUGUUUUGGGUUUUUUUCCCCAGGCAGAUUGCAUUUCCCAAUUCAAGUAUGGAAAUGCAAUCUGGAAUGUGAAUUUAUGGGCUUGGAGGAGAAUUUUGCUAAUUCUCCUUCAAUUGCCCUUUAGCACAUUUUGGUGAUAUUAGAACACACUUUUUUACAUUAUUUGAGUACAAAUCAUUUUAAUAAAUAAACAAAUAACUGCAGAAAAAGUUGUAAGGAACGUUGUAAGUGUAUCCAACAAGUAUCAGGCCCUACGUGGAGGGAUCCCCCCCCCUCGACAGACUUCACCCCUUCAGACCCUGCUCCCAUUUGCGCUGCUUUCAUACAUUUCCUGCCUGGUUUUCCAUCCCAAUUCACCCUUGCCAGUGAGCUAGGGUUACAUGCUUGAUAAGUAAUAGCUAGAAUGUGAUUGGUUGCUAUGGGCAGCUUCUCAAUCUAUCCUCUUUAGAAGGUGUGAUGCAUUUCCUCCUAUAUAUUUCCCAAUCCAAAAGUCUUAGUUUUACUUAAAAAAAUAAAUUAAAAUCCAAAAAACUAAAAUCCAA